rnacentral:lncRNA from 1 species
AUGUAACCCACAACCUUCUGUCUGGAAGGCUUAAGAAUAUGGCUGGGUCUUGUCAUCUGAAGGUAGUUUAUUAUCUGUCCCUUCAUGGGACUGAAACACCCUAAGUCUUUUUGAUACUCCUGGUAUUUUCCAGUACUGCCAUUAUGGAUUUCAACUAUGAAAGGCCACAGUUUUGAAUAUAAACGGAACUUGUGCUGAAGGCAACAAUGUUUUAACUGCUUAUUACCACCACUUCUUUGGUUGAGUAAAAUUUAGUAAUUUCAAAACUUUGACCCAUGCCCAUUUAUGUAUGGCAGAAGGAAAAUAUAUGACAUUAUCAUGGAUUUUAUAAUGAAUAAUAGUCUCCUAAAGCAAGCAACAAUGUACCAAUAGCAGUAACUUGUGUAUUUAUAAGGUCUGAAGAGAUUGUGAUUGAUAGUAGUGAAUUCUUCUUUGCUUACAUAAUUGAGGCAAGGACUGAACAGAACAACAACAAAAAUUCCAAAGGCAUAAGCAGACCUAGUAGUGACAGUUCUGAGGGGGAAAGAGGAAGAGAAAGGGCAGCAUUCUCUACACCUGGGAGACAAGAGGCGUGCUUUGGAGUUGAUCAAAGAAAAAAUGAAGGUGUAGCUGCAAUCGAGUGUUUAAAAUCUGUCAAAAGUCAGAUUAAAGUUGUGAUAUAAAUGUUGUGUAUAUCUGGGUAUUUGUAAGACAGUUAAGUCUUACCUUUCACAGAGGAAAAGAGGAUAAAGGCAAAAGAAGUAGUAUGACAUGUUAUUGAAUGGCUUGAUAAGGAGCUCCCAAAAGCAGUCAAAACCAAUGGCCAGGCGAAGGCAGUUUCUUCUGUGAAGUGGGAACCCACUCAAGAAGAAAGGGGUUGCGUGGGGGUGGCGCAGUUAAUUUUCACUCUGAGCUACUUAAUGCUAUUAGAAAGGAGUCUUCGUGUAUGUGUUCAGUCCUUUCCUUCUGUAAGAAUAUUUAUUUCAAGCCCCCUCAAUGGGAUGGGAGGAUGCCCAGGCUCUCCGUGCUGGCAUCAGGGAUGCCCUGCUCUGCAGUUACUUUACUUGUCUCUUUCCCUUGAGCAGAGGGAGAGCCAAGAAUCUAAGUCCAGUGCAACACAAAAGUACCUAAAGUUCCCUUUGUGGGCAAGGUGAGGGUUUUCAGAAAAGACAUCUUUCAUGAUCUAUAUGGCUAAUUAAGCAAGCUUUUCUUGAUGACCAAAUAACCCUGAACAUUGACCUAUAGACGAUUUUGAUUAAUCUUCAAUCCAGGUUAGUGAGCUCCAUAGAUUUAAAUGAUGGAUGUAGGACCACAACACCUCUUGGGCUUCGUAGAUUAUUUUUUCUUUUUGUUUUGCUACCAGGAUGUGAUCUUACCCUGUUUCUUGUAGCAAAUAAGCACACAGCAGCCUUGAGUAUCUGGAACCUUAAAGCUGGUUAAGCUCUUAGUGAAACCCAGUGGGUUCUCUUUGGAAGCAGGGGUUGUCCCAGCUCACCACAUGCAUCUUAACACCAGCAUUUCUCUUGGUUUCCUUUGCAGACUGACUUUUGCUCAUCUCUUACACUGUUGUCAUUCCUAGAUAGAUUUUUUUCUGGCCAUGUCUAUUUUUCAAAAAAAAAAAAAAAA